rnacentral:misc_RNA from 1 species
GAAAUGCGAUAAGUAAUGUGAAUUGCAGAAUUCAGUGAAUCAUCGAAUCUUUGAACGCAUCUUGCGCUCCUUGGUAUUCCUUGGAGCAUGCCUGUUUGAGUAUCAUGAAAUCUUCAAAGUAAAUCUUUUGUUAACUCAAUUGGUUUCUACUUUGGUAUUGGAGGUCUUUGCAGCUUCACACCUGCUCCUCUUUGUUCAUUAGCUGGAUCUCAGUGUUAUGCUUGGUUCCACUCGGCGUGAUAAGUUAUCUAUCGCUGAGGACACUGUAAAAGGUGGCCAAGGUAAAUGCAGAUGAACCUCUUCUAAUAGUCCAUUGACUUGGACAAUACUUUUAUGAUCUGAUCUCAAAUCAGGUAGGACUACCCGCUGAACUUAAGC